AUGUUGUUAGUAUAAUUCGUAUUAUGUUUUUUUUCCAAAAAAAUGAUCUAGGUUUAGGCAAUGUA
rnacentral:tRNA from 1 species